UGCAGGGUAGACUUUGGUGCGUUAAGUGCCGUGGAAACGGAAUGUGGGCCACGGACGAAGGACAACGUGUUCGCGAUACCAUCGUCACAUUCACUGUA
rfam:Weissella cibaria strain MG1 contig000016, whole genome shotgun sequence.